rnacentral:rRNA from 1 species
GAUGAACGCUGGCGGCGUGCCUAAUACAUGCAAGUCGAACGAAGCUUGACGGAUGUUUUCCUCGGUAUGAAACCAGCUAUGGCUUGGUUGACGAGGGGUGAGUAACCCGUGAGCAACCUGCCAUUCAGAGGGGGCGAACGGCAGGACACGGUCGCUAAUACAGCAUGAUGUUUUCGGAUGGCAUCAUGUGAACGUCACACUUUUAUCGCUGACAGAUGGGCUUGGGUAAGAUUGUAAAGUAGGGGGGGUAACGGCCGACCAAGCCUAGGAUCAGUAGCCGGACGGAGAGGUUGAACGGCCACAUUGGGACUGAGAGACGGCCCAGACUCCUACGGGAGACAGCAGUGAGGAAUAUUGCACAAUGGGGGAAACGCUGAUGCAGCUACGCGGCGUGAAGAAUGACGGUUUUCGGAUUGUAAACUUCUUUACUUAGAGACGAAGACAGUGACGGUAGCUAAGGAGAAAGCAACGGCUAACUACGUG